rnacentral:misc_RNA from 1 species
GAUGAAGAACGCAGCGAAAUGCGAUAAGUAAUGUGAAUUGCAGAAUUCAGUGAAUCAUCGAAUCUUUGAACGCACAUUGCGCCCGCCAGUAUUCUGGCGGGCAUGCCUGUUCGAGCGUCAUUUCAACCAUCAAGCCCCCGGCUUGUGUUGGGGACCUGCGGCUGCCGCAGGCCCUGAAAACCAGUGGCGGGCUCGCUAGUCACUCCGAGCGUAGUAAUACAUCUCGCUCAGGGCGUGCUGCGGGUUCCGGCCGUUAAAAAGCCUUAUUACCCAAGGUUGACCUCGGAUCAGGUAGGAAGACCCGCUGAACUUAAGCAUAUCAAUAAGCGGAGGA